UAGGGAAUUUUGCGCAAUGGGCGAAAGCCUGACGCAGCAACGCCGCGUGAGGGAUGAAGGUCUUCGGAUUGUAAACCUCUGUUGGAUGGGAAGAAAAUCUUCAGGUUAAUACCCUGAAGACUGACGGUACCAUUCGAGUAAGCACCGGCUAACUACGUGCCAGCAGCCGCGGUAAUACGUAGGGUGCAAGCGUUGUUCGGAAUCACUGGGCGUAAAGGGAGCGUAGGCGGAAAUGUAAGUUAGGAGUUAAAUACAUAGGCUCAACCUGUGGUCUGCUUUUAAUACUGCAUUUCUUGAGUAUGGGAGAGGGCGAUGGAAUUCCAGGUGUAGCGGUGGAAUGCGUAGAUAUCUGGAAGAACACCAGUUGCGAAGGCGGUCGCCUGGCCCAAUACUGACGCUGAGGCUCGAAAGCUAGGGGAGCGAACAGG
rnacentral:rRNA from 1 species